rnacentral:rRNA from 1 species
UACGUAGGGUGCGAGCGUUGUCCGGAAUUACUGGGCGUAAAGGGCUCGUAGGCGGCCAACUAAGUCAUACGUGAAAUCCCUCGGCUUAACCGGGGAACUGCGUCUGAUACUGGAUGGCUUGAGUUCGGGAGAGGGAUGCGGAAUUCCAGGUGUAGCGGUGAAAUGCGUAGAUAUCAGGAGGAACACCGGUGGUGUAGACGGCUUUCUGGACCGUAACUGACGCUGAAACACGAAAGCGUGGGUAGCAAACAGG